GACGAACGCUGGCGGCGUGCUUAACACAUGCAAGUCGAACGGUGAAGCGCUUGCCUUUUUGGUGGGUGUGGAUGAGUGGCGAACGGGUGAGUAACACGUGAGUAACCUGCCCUCUUCUUCUGGAUAACCUCAUGAAAGUGGGGCUAAUACGGGGUAUUCCGGGUCUGUCGCAUGGCGGGUUUGGGAAAGAUUGCGCCUUUGGGUGUUUUCGGUGGGGGAUGGGCUCGCGGCCUAUCAGCUUGUUGGUGGGGUGAUGGCCUACCAAGGCGGUGACGGGUAGCCGGCCUGAGAGGGUGGACGGCCACACUGGGACUGAGACACGGCCCAGACUCCUGCGGGAGGCAGCGGUGGGGAAUAUUGCACAAUGGGCGCAAGCCUGAUGCAGCGACGCCGCGUGAGGGAUGGAGGCCUUCGGGUUGUGAACCUCUUUCGCCAGUGAAGCAGGCCUGCCUCGUUUGUGGGUGGGUUGACGGUAGCUGGAUAAGAAGCGCCGGCUAACUACGUG
rnacentral:rRNA from 1 species